rnacentral:misc_RNA from 1 species
UUUUUCUUGAUGUCUCACCCAUAAUCAAAACAACCUAAGGAAUAUAUGUAGCAUUGAUGAGUAGAAGCGCUGAUGGAGAAAUUGAUUGAGCAUCUAGACCCGAGGAAGAGCUGGGUCAAGGAACUAACAAAACGGGUCUGUGUAUAAGCAGGUGGAGAAUUCGAUGGUUCUUAGCAUCCAAAAUCAUGUUUCUUAAAACCUAAACCCCAUUAUUGUCACCUUCUUCCGCACUUCAGUCAUUUUCACUUCGCUUCUCCGAAGGCUUAAGUAUAGUUUUAGCUCAAAAAUGGCUUGGCGCAGUGGAAGAUUGCUCGCGCUUACGCUUAUCUCCACGGCUAGGGCUCCAUCUCACGUAUCCUCGUUGAUGAUCCCCCGCAUCCGUCUCCCUCCCACUGCCUCCCCCCGACUCCAGUCUCAUCAUAUUGUCUAUUAUUUUGAACUAUUUG